UAUUAAAACAAGAUUGCAUUUGAGAAAAAUGCUAUGCCACCGCAUUAAUACCUAAGCUCUAGGCCUUUUGGGCAUUUACAAGAAGGUAUUUUAAGUUUUUGAAGCCUUGUACCUUGUACCUACAGACAAUAAGAUUUUUUUUUAUUUUUUACUAUAUGUAUAUAUUGAAAAUCAAUGACCCCCGGGGCGGGGGCAAUUUUGACCCCAGGGCUAUAAUUUGAACAAUCGUGCUAGAGGUUCACUACACAAUGUUUCAUGCAAAAUAUCUAACCUCUAGCAUUUGUCAAUUGCUAGAAGUAAUUUUUUUAAAGUUUUUACUAUAUACAUAUAACGAAAACCAAUGACCCCCGGGGCAGGGCCGAUUUUGACCCCAGGGCUAUAAUUUGAACAAUCUGGGUAGAGGUCUACAACACAAUGCCUUAUGCUCUAGGCCUUUUGGGUCUUUACAAGUAGGUAUUUAAAGUUUUUACUAUAUGUACAUAUAGUGAAAAUCAAUGACCCCCGGGGCGGGGCCGAUUUUGACCCUAGGGCUAUAAUUUGAACAAUCUGGGUAGAGGUCUACAACACAAUGCCUUAUGCUCUAGGCCUUUUGGGUCUUUACAAGUAGGUAUUUAAAGUUUUUACUAUAUGUACAUAUAGUGAAAAUCAAUGACCCCCGGGGCGGGGCCGAUUUUGACCCUAGGGCUAUAAUUUGAACAAUCUUGGUAGAGGUCUACCAGGCAAUGCCUUAUGCAAAAUAUCUAAGCUCUAGGCUAUUUGGGUCUUUACAAUAAGAUUUUUUAAAUUUAUUCUUAUAAUUCCUUUUGGUUGCCAUGGCAACCAGAUUUCUGCAUGGAAUGAAAUUCUUUGAACAACUUUGGAAGCCCUUCACCCAAGGAUCAAUCCUGCCAAGUUUGGUUGAAAUUGGACUAUUGGUUUUUCACAAGAAGAUUUUUUACGUUCACUAUAUAAUCUAUAUAACAAUGACCCGGGGCGGGGCCUAUUUUGACCCCAGGGCUAUAAUUUGAACAAUGUUGGUAGAGGUCUACCAGACAAUGCC